rnacentral:lncRNA from 1 species
GGCCUCAGAACCGCCCGGAGAGAAGCCGCCUUGGAUGGACAGAGGGACGGAGCAGCAAGCAUCCGGCCUCCCCGGCUUCCCUGCAGCGGUCUCCAACUGCUGUCUGCCCGCUGCCCGCCUGCCUGGCAUCUCUCUCCCGUGCUUCCUAUAUGGCAAGCCAGGGACUGAAACUUACGAUUUGACUGGACAAUCUAUAAGGUGCUAGCUGCAUUCCUGGCCUGGGAGCAGGGAGCCUGUCUGACCCCUGUGUCACACUGGAUGGUUUUACAGAGGUGCCCCACCUGAUGCUGGAUGGAAGUCAUCACCCUACAGUGUGGGUAUCAAGGGGGGAGCAAGGGGGCUAGGAAGCUCCAGAGGGAUUAGGUGGUCUCCAGUCACUCCCCUCUGUGUGAACCCUGCUGCUCUUCCACUCUGGAGCUGGAAAGCUGUCAGCUGCCACGCCAUGGUGCCAAGCACAUAGUAGGACUUCAAGCAUGUUUGCCCUGUACUUGUCUGCUCUUGACUGACUUCAAAGCCUUGUCCCCCAACUACCCACACGGCCACCUUACUCAACAGAAAUAUUCCUGUGAUAGAGACAGAAGGGCCCCCUGUUGGUCUGGAGGGUAUGGGGGGCAUUGAUCUCCCCACUAUCCAAACCAGACACCUUAUCUCUAAACCGUCAUGCACCUCCCCAGACCACUCCUACCUUCUGUCACAGACAUCAGUCAUCCUUGCUGCUCACCUCCCUGGACUGGAGCAGCAGGACGGGAUGCCUCCCAACCUGCACAGGAGCAGGAGGAGGCUCCAGGACCUGAGGGUGGGGAGGUAAUUGUUGAGUUAGUCUUACUUGUCUCAACCUUUGCAGGGUCCUUUUAUGACAGGCCGCAAGGUCACCAUAUGACAAACAGGACACAUCUGCCACAACUGGGAGGUGGGGCUGCUUCCCAAAGGACCCUGUGCCAGGUCAGUCUCUGUGGUGACUUGGUUUCAGGGGAGGCUGCACUUGACAGCACCUCCCUUAAAGAGGAGGCGUCAAUACAGAUGUAGGCCC